rnacentral:rRNA from 1 species
GACGGAGGGGGCAAGUGUUCUUCGGAAUGACUGGGCGUAAAGGGCACGUAGGCGGCCAAUUAAGUCACACGUGAAAUCCCUCGGCUCAACCGGGGAACUGCGUGUGAGACUGGAUGGCUUGAGUUUGGGAGAGGAAUGCGGAAUUCCAGGUGUAGCGGUGAAAUGCGUAGAUAUCUGGAGGAACACCGGUGGCGAAGGCGGCAUUCUGGACCAACACUGACGCUGAGGAGCGAAAGCCAGGGGAGCAAACGGG